rfam:Nestor notabilis contig35137, whole genome shotgun sequence.
CUCCCGGUUUCCCUUGAAACCAUAUAAAUUUAGAAAGGACUUUUAU